UCCAGGCACAUAUCUCCCCCGAUGUUCAGUCAACACUGCUCCAGCAAGUAAUGAACCUUACGCCAGAACAGCUGAGAUUACUGACUCCAGAGCAACAGCAAGAGGUCUUAAAGCUGCAACAAGCGCUCAAGCAAGACCACAUGAUGCAGCCUUCAUAACAUUGAGGGGAAAGCAACUCGGUUGGUCGAUUUCAUUGCAGAGAGCAAAAAGGAUUUUUUUUGCAUGCAAAUCACACCAUAGAAAGAAGAAGGCUCUCUCACCUGAAUUGGGGCGAGUGAUUGUACGAUUAGUGUAGCAUUUAUUUGUGCUGAGUUUGUCUUAUAGAAGAAACAUUCAGCCUUCAAAAUAUAAAAGGAAAGAGAAAGUUAUAAAGUUCAAAGUCUCCGAAACUGUGUUCCUCUCUUUUUUAUUUCCGUUACUGUCUUAUUUCCUGCAUUAACAACACACAACUCUCCUUUGGAUUUUAAUCCCGCACUUGGUUUGGUCA